GUUGCCCUUAUUUAACAAGGGCAUCCUUUGAGUGACAAAAAUUAAAACAAAAAUAAAUAAAUAAAACUCUCCCCUCCUAAUUCCUUGGAAGCGCAUCUUUUGUGUUUUCUCGCUGCUUCCCCUUUGUUGCUGGUGCUCAUGCUCCCCUUUGUUCUUGCUGCUCCCGCGCACUACUCUUCUUCUGCACCGUUUUUCUUCAAAUCAGUGAUGAAUUCGGCGAGUACUUUGUCGCCGACUCCGACUAUGCGUUUCAAGUUCGUUGCAUACCUUUGAAAUGAGGGAGAGAUAUUCCAAUUUCUUUAGCAUACCUUACGUCUUCUCAACCUAGGGUUUAGAUCAGUUUUCUCCAUCCUCCAUAGAUACCAAAAGCUUAACUCAAAGCGCGAGAUUCUGGGGCAGGGUGUGAAUAAUUCGCGCAAAAGUUGAUCAGGUUUUCAUCCUAGAUUCUUAACCCAAUUUCACGAAUCUCCAUUGCAGUUGUUUCAUCAUAAGUUGAAGUUCUCUCCUUCCCCAAAUUCAGGUAUUCAGAAAACACGAAUUAGCCAUCCUCACGAAGCAGAGUGUUGAUGAAAAUGAAUGUCAAAAAAAGGGCACUUCCUCAAUGGAAAUCAGUUAAGUGCGCCCAACAAGAGGGUAGGGUCGAGUGUGGCUCUUACGUGAUAAAAUUCAUGCAUGACAUAUUCAAAAGUUGCAAGGAAGUUCAAGAUCCGGAAAAGGUUUUCAAAACUCCAAGGGAGGGGCCCUUUACCAAAAAGGAGUUGGAUGAAGUUCGAGACAAGUGGGCUAUUUACUUCAACGAUUGUGAACUACCUUCAGUGUAAUAAAUAGAGCAGACAUGUAGUUAUUCGUGACUCUUACAUUAUUUUGUUAUUUAUCGAUUUAAUUAAUUACAUUUGAAUUAUUUCGUUAAUAUUAUUGGAAAUUUGAAAUUUAUAUCAUUUUUGAGAA